CAGGUACUUCCUCCGUUCCAAAUUACUUAUCGCAAAAAUGGAUGUAUCUAUAACUAAAAUACAUCUAGAUACAUCCAUACCUGCGACAAGUAAUUCGGAACGGAGGGAGUACCAU
rnacentral:pre_miRNA from 1 species